GCUGGAGCACAGAGAGUGUCUGAGAACUGCCUUGCCUACGGCAAGGAGGUGAUCUGCGUAAGGGUCAGAUGGACUUCCUCUCGGGACAGUGACAGCCUCACUCGGAAGCUGAGUAGCCACUUGGCAAAAACGUAGAAGAGAUUCAGAGCUCUCCUUUUGCUGUUUGCCUGCGUGAAAGGAAAGUACGAUGAAAAAGGGCAAGGCUCUCAGCUUCCAAACAAGAGAGGAAAAACUUCCACCGUAUAAUAAGUUGUUGGGAUGUAGGUGAUAUAAGGCUGAGAAUUCACUGAUGUAGUCACCCAGGGUUAUGGCGCCACAUCUCUCCAUUUCCCCAACCACUGUGUGCUGAAUACUAAUUUGAACACACUAA